UCUCUCUCACACACACACACACACACACACACACACACACACACAUACACACACACAAACACAUACACACACACCAUCCAAAUGGUUGCAAAUUUUUUUUUUUUGAAAUUUAAUAUACCUUUGCAAAAAUGAAAUCACUCAAACCCUCAGCAACAUAAACUUCAUGUUUUAAAUAAAUACAAUCUUUCCCUGCUCCUUAAAUAGUCUCAGUUUUCAUUUUUUUCUUUUCUGUAUAUUACUGUUCAUUUUAUAAAAUUAUUCAUAAUUCUCAGAUCAACUUUAUAAAAUAAAAACUUUGUUUUAGGAAAAACAGUUAAUCUUGCUUCAUGUAUUUAGGAAAAUGUGCUAGUUUACCCACCUAUAAUGAAGAAUUUAAAUCCAUUGUAUCAAAUAAGCAGAAAAUUCAAAAAUAAUUUGACAACUUUAGUAAAGAGAAAUGAAUCUUCUUGAAAUCAGGAAAAAAAAAGUGUGAGUUUGGCAUUUGUUUGGGGAAGCAGAAGUUAGUUUUUUUUUGUUGUUGUUUUGUUUUGUUUUGUUUUGUUUUGUUUUGUUUUGUUUUGUUUUAAACUAGCUGAAAGGGCUGUGUGCCUAGAAAGAUGGGAGGGGAGAAAUGUAAUGCAGCACUUAGAUGCCUGUCUGUCUGUCUGUAUCCACUUAUUUCUUUCUCUCUCUGUCUCUCUAUCUAUCUCCUCUCUUUCUCUCUUCCACUCUCCCUCUCCCUCUCUCUUUCUCACUCCAUGUAUUUGUUUUACUUGAAACUGCAGCUUGUCAAAACAUUCUGGCUACAUCUUGUGUUGUGCAGAACAUUUUGUUUGGGAGGUACAUUCAUGAAAGGCAGCAAGGGAAUUUAAAGCAUCCUGGGGCUAAAUGGAACUUUUGUUCUGUGAUUUAUUUAUGAGUGAAGAAAUCAAUUCCUUCAAAUAUAAAUUUUCUUUACUUACAGAAGGAGGAAUUGUUUCACAACAUUUACUAUGAUUAGUUAUCAUUGUGCUCUUGGGCUUUGAAAUUAGAUGUGUUGGUGCCAAUGGCUGAUUCUCCAAGACACUGGCAGCCCUUACUAUUCUUCAAGACUUAUCCAAGAGACAAAAAAAAUGCUGAAAGCUGUUUGGGUAGGGAAGUGGAGGUGGAUCAGAGUGAGGUUGGGAUUGGGAUUAUGAUCAAACCACAUGAUACUGGAAACUCUCAAAGAAGGAAUUAAAAAUUAAAUUGUAUUACGAUAAACAUGUGAAAAUAUAUUUAUUCCAAGAAGUAAAAUUAUUACCUAGCAAAAAUAUUUAAAUUUACACAUUAAGUGUUUUAAUUACUUAGUAAUCAGCGAUGUAAACUGGUGUAUGAUAAGAAUGAUUAAAAAAACAAACACAAACUAAAAUAGUAGACAAUAUUUAAAGAGAGGCAUAAUUGAUCUUUUCUACAGUGUAAAUGGGAAGUGAAGGAAAUAUCUGCUGGCCACACAGGACGUAAUUGCAUUUCUAUUGAUAAGAACUUUGUUGCUUUGUUGUUUUCCUCAGUUGCAUUCUGGUGGGAGAGUUUCCCAAAAGCAAUAGGAUAAACUGAAAAUUUGUAUUAUAGAUUAUAAAUAAUGCAGUUAUUUAUUGAUGUAAAAGUGCUACCUAUAAAAUACUCCUGGAACAUACUCAUUGUGUUCUACAUUGUAAUUGUAGGAUAAAUAUAAAUUUGUUCAAAGAAACCUAAAAUACACAAAGGUCACAUUAUUAGAAUAAAUCUCAUUCAUAACUAUUUACGGCCGCAUUUUAUUGAGAAAUAAAGAGAAUCAAAGGUCUGUGAAUCAUCCCAAUACCAUAACAUAGGCACAUACUUUCUGUCUUCUUUACCAUCUCUUGAUUCAAUCCAGUGUGAUUAUGGUAAUCCUAUCCAUUCCUCUGCCUAAAAUCACAAACCUAUUGCAUAGUUUACAUUUAGCAUGCCCAUCAUCUUGAAUUUUUUUCUGUAUUCCAUUUUCAAUGCUUUCUUACAAGGGCCAGUUUGUAUUGUUUAUAUUUCUUUGGUUAUUACAAUAUCUUCCGUACUGAUAGUACUUUAUUUUGUUUUGCUAAGUCGAUAUAAUAUUCAAAAUGUUACUAUUCAGAUAGAACUUUGUCUAAUUCCAUGUAAAGAGCAGCAACAGUAAUAUUUGUUAAAAUUGGUUGGUGGUCAUUAUAAUUUAGUUCUUUUCCCUAUCCAAAUACAUCUUUGAAACAUUUCUUCCAGAGUGGUGCUAGGCACUUUCAACUCAAUUAGUGGCUUAUGCUUGUACUUUACCUGGCCUUUCCCCUCACACUGGAGUAUUUACAUAAUUCUUCCUUAUAGCAAUAAGAUACAAGUCUCUCUUUUUCUGUUUCCCUUCCAGUUGCCUCCACCUCCAUACACACACAUUCAAAUGCUGCCUAUUAACUAAUCAAAUGAAUGCACGAGAGGAAACUCUACUUAGGUAUCACUCCCUCCUUGUUUAUCCUCUCUUCAUUACACCACUAUUUAAUGAGCAUUCUGUUUACAAAUAUGUG
rnacentral:lncRNA from 1 species